AGAAUGAACGCUGGCGGCAUGCCUAACACAUGCAAGUCGAACGAAGCCUUCGGGCUUAGUGGCGCACGGGUGCGUAACGCGUGGGAAUCUGCCCUUGGGUUCGGAAUAACAGCGAGAAAUUGCUGCUAAUACCGGAUGAUGACGUAAGUCCAAAGAUUUAUCGCCCAGGGAUGAGCCCGCGUAGGAUUAGCUAGUUGGUGAGGUAAAGGCUCACCAAGGCGACGAUCCUUAGCUGGUCUGAGAGGAUGAUCAGCCACACUGGGACUGAGACACGGCCCAGACUCCUACGGGAGGCAGCAGUGGGGAAUAUUGGACAAUGGGCGAAAGCCUGAUCCAGCAAUGCCGCGUGAGUGAUGAAGGCCUUAGGGUUGUAAAGCUCUUUACCCGGGAUGAUAUGACAGUACCGGGAGAAUAAGCUCCGGCUAACGUCCGUGCCAGCAGCCGC
rnacentral:rRNA from 1 species